rnacentral:rRNA from 1 species
UUAAGCGACUAAGCGUACACGGUGGAUGCCCUGGCAGUCAGAGGCGAUGAAGGACGUGCUAAUCUGCGAUAAGCGUCGGCAAGGUGAUAUGAACCGUUAUAACCGGCGAUUUCCGAAUGGGGAAACCCAGUGUGAUUCGUCACACUAUCAUUAACUGAAUCCAUAGGUUAAUGAGGCGAACCGGGGGAACUGAAACAUCUAAGUACCCCGAGGAAAAGAAAUCAACCGAGAUUCCCCCAGUAGCGGCGAGCGAACGGGGAGGAGCCCAGAGCCUGAAUCAGUGUGUGUGUUAGUGGAAGCGUCUGGAAAGGCGCGCGAUACAGGGUGACAGCCCCGUACACAAAAAUGCACAUACUGUGAGCUCGAUGAGUAGGGCGGGACACGUGGUAUCCUGUCUGAAUAUGGGGGGACCAUCCUCCAAGGCUAAAUACUCCUGACUGACCGAUAGUGAACCAGUACCGUGAGGGAAAGGCGAAAAGAACCCCGGCGAGGGGAGUGAAAAAGAACCUGAAACCGUGUACGUACAAGCAGUGGGAGCCUCUUUUAUGGGGUGACUGCGUACCUUUUGUAUAAUGGGUCAGCGACUUAUAUUCUGUAGCAAGGUUAACCGAAUAGGGGAGCCGAAGGGAAACCGAGUCUUAACCGGGCGUUAAGUUGCAGGGUAUAGACCCGAAACCCGGUGAUCUAGCCAUGGGCAGGUUGAAGGUUGGGUAACACUAACUGGAGGACCGAACCGACUAAUGUUGAAAAAUUAGCGGAUGACUUGUGGCUGGGGGUGAAAGGCCAAUCAAACCGGGAGAUAGCUGGUUCUCCCCGAAAGCUAUUUAGGUAGCGCCUCGUGAAUUCAUCUCCGGGGGUAGAGCACAGUUUCGGCAAGGGGGUCAUCCCGACUUACCAACCCGAUGCAAACUGCGAAUACCGGAGAAUGUUAUCACGGGAGACACACGGCGGGUGCUAACGUCCGUCGUGAAGAGGGAAACAACCCAGACCGCCAGCUAAGGUCCCAAAGUCAUGGUUAAGUGGGAAACGAUGUGGGAAGGCCCAGACAGCCAGGAUGUUGGCUUAGAAGCAGUCAUCAUUUAAAGAAAGCGUAAUAGCUCACUGGUCGAGUCGGCCUGCGCGGAAGAUGUAACGGGGCUAAACCAUGCACCGAAGCUGCGGCAGCGACACUGUGUGUUGUUGGGUAGGGGAGCGUUCUGUAAGCCUGUGAAGGUGUACUGUGAGGUAUGCUGGAGGUAUCAGAAGUGCGAAUGCUGACAUAAGUAACGAUAAAGCGGGUGAAAAGCCCGCUCGCCGGAAGACCAAGGGUUCCUGUCCAACGUUAAUCGGGGCAGGGUGAGUCGACCCCUAAGGCGAGGCCGAAAGGCGUAGUCGAUGGGAAACAGGUUAAUAUUCCUGUACUUGGUGUUACUGCGAAGGGGGGACGGAGAAGGCUAUGUUGGCCGGGCGACGGUUGUCCCGGUUUAAGCGUGUAGGCUGGUUUUCCAGGCAAAUCCGGAAAAUCAAGGCUGAGGCGUGAUGACGAGGCACUACGGUGCUGAAGCAACAAAUGCCCUGCUUCCAGGAAAAGCCUCUAAGCAUCAGGUAACAUCAAAUCGUACCCCAAACCGACACAGGUGGUCAGGUAGAGAAUACCAAGGCGCUUGAGAGAACUCGGGUGAAGGAACUAGGCAAAAUGGUGCCGUAACUUCGGGAGAAGGCACGCUGAUAUGUAGGUGAAGUCCCUCGCGGAUGGAGCUGAAAUCAGUCGAAGAUACCAGCUGGCUGCAACUGUUUAUUAAAAACACAGCACUGUGCAAACACGAAAGUGGACGUAUACGGUGUGACGCCUGCCCGGUGCCGGAAGGUUAAUUGAUGGGGUCAGCGCAAGCGAAGCUCUUGAUCGAAGCCCCGGUAAACGGCGGCCGUAACUAUAACGGUCCUAAGGUAGCGAAAUUCCUUGUCGGGUAAGUUCCGACCUGCACGAAUGGCGUAAUGAUGGCCAGGCUGUCUCCACCCGAGACUCAGUGAAAUUGAACUCGCUGUGAAGAUGCAGUGUACCCGCGGCAAGACGGAAAGACCCCGUGAACCUUUACUAUAGCUUGACACUGAACAUUGAGCCUUGAUGUGUAGGAUAGGUGGGAGGCUUUGAAGUGUGGACGCCAGUCUGCAUGGAGCCGACCUUGAAAUACCACCCUUUAAUGUUUGAUGUUCUAACGUGGACCCGUGAUCCGGGUUGCGGACAGUGUCUGGUGGGUAGUUUGACUGGGGCGGUCUCCUCCUAAAGAGUAACGGAGGAGCACGAAGGUUGGCUAAUCCUGGUCGGACAUCAGGAGGUUAGUGCAAUGGCAUAAGCCAGCUUGACUGCGAGCGUGACGGCGCGAGCAGGUGCGAAAGCAGGUCAUAGUGAUCCGGUGGUUCUGAAUGGAAGGGCCAUCGCUCAACGGAUAAAAGGUACUCCGGGGAUAACAGGCUGAUACCGCCCAAGAGUUCAUAUCGACGGCGGUGUUUGGCACCUCGAUGUCGGCUCAUCACAUCCUGGGGCUGAAGUAGGUCCCAAGGGUAUGGCUGUUCGCCAUUUAAAGUGGUACGCGAGCUGGGUUUAGAACGUCGUGAGACAGUUCGGUCCCUAUCUGCCGUGGGCGCUGGAGAACUGAGGGGGGCUGCUCCUAGUACGAGAGGACCGGAGUGGACGCAUCACUGGUGUUCGGGUUGUCAUGCCAAUGGCACUGCCCGGUAGCUAAAUGCGGAAGAGAUAAGUGCUGAAAGCAUCUAAGCACGAAACUUGCCCCGAGAUGAGUUCUCCCUGACCCUUUAAGGGUCCUGAAGGAACGUUGAAGACGACGACGUUGAUAGGCCGGGUGUGUAAGCGCAGCGAUGCGUUGAGCUAACCGGUACUAAUGAACCGUGAGGCUUAACCUU